rnacentral:lncRNA from 1 species
GAGAGAGAGAGAGAGACAGAGACAGAGAGAAAGAGAGAGAGAGAGGGCAAGAGCGAGAGACAGAGAGAGAGAGAGAGAGAGAGAGAGAGAGAGAGAGAGAGAGAGAGAGAGAGAGAGAAAGAGAAAGAAAACGAGCGAGGGAGAGAGCGAGAGCGAGAGAGAGAGAGAGAGAGCGUCACACACACAUCUCUGCCGGAAGUGAUGUCACGGCAUGGGCGCCCGCCCACCGGAGGAGCGACUGGAGUUGAUCGGCUGGGCGCUCAGAACCUGGACAACUACCCUCAAUUGGUAACAUAUUUUGGUGAGCCAGCCAGAAGUUUCACUCUUGUUGCCCAGGCUGGAGUGCAAUGGUGUGAUUUCAGCUUACUGAAACCUCCACCUCCUAGGUUCAAGAGAUUCUCCUGCCUCAGCUUCCCGAGUAGCUGGAAUUACAGCUUCAGAUCCAAAUGGUAUGCUAGCAUUCUCUUCCUAGCAGUCCACUGUCAAGACUUCACUGUUAGAAGAAGAAUCACACCAGAAUUAAGGUCAAAUGGAUUAUCUUAUUCUUAAUUGCUGAAAAUCACACCUCAUUGAAAUUUGCUUCAUAACUGAACCAUGAAUUUUUCAUCAAACAUACUUUUGUGUUUCUCCUCCUGGCAUUCUUUAUGAGGAACUUCUUUUUGGAGCUCACUGACUUCCUGUUCUAAUUUGGUCCAGUUAUUUUCUAGAAUUGCUACAUGACUGUCAUCCUGGGACAUCCUUCUGUUGGAAUCUGGGAGAGCUUACAACUUUUCAUAUCCUCUCUUCUUCUUUGUGUUUUUCACCCUGAAGUGUACAAAGUCAAAUGAAUUUCCUAGAAAAACUAGUGAGUUAAUAUUUUGAGUCCUUGUGAUAUGGGAGGGGGGCAGGGAAGUGCUGGGUAGAGAAGGGUGGGGUCCCUGGUGAGGGCUCCACUCUCAGGCCUGUGCUCAUGGACCUAAAUGAGGACAGGCAUUUCUGUUUUCAUGCCCCAAAUGUUGCCUUUUGGCCCACCAUGCGCCCCAUCCUGUACCCAUAAAAACCCAAGACUUGAGAAGGCACAGACACAAGUGGCGGGACGUCAAGAGAGCUGAAGAACACAGCAACAGACACCAGCAGACAACAUCAGGCCAUCGAUGGCUGCAUGAUGUGGAAUUUGGCUGGGGGCAGUUGGAGGAGAGUCUGGCUAUUGGGCGACCUGACUCCAGGGGAAGACUACCUUCCCACUCCAUCCCCCUUGGGGCUCCUCAUGCAUCUCACGAGAGCUACCUCCACCACUCAAUAAAACCUUGCACGCAUCCUCCAAGCCCACGUGUGAUCCGACUUCUUGGGUACACUAGGGCAAGAACCCGGGAUACAGAAAGCCCUCUGUCCGUGUGAUAAGGCACAGGGUCUAGUGGAGCUGAUUAACACAAGCCACCUGCAGAAGGCAAAGCUGAAAGAGCACACCACAACACAUGCCCACUGGGGCUUCGGGAGCUGCAAACACUCAACCCUAGACACUGUCGUGGGGUCAGAGCCCCAAAACACUCCCCACGACCUGCUCAUCUGCAUGCUCCCCUCAGGAGUUUGAGCAGCAGGUCACCGAAGAAGCGAGCCACACCCGUUGCAUGCCGUGUGAGGGGGAUAAGGGAACUUCUCCCAUUUCAUCUGAAUAUCUGAAAGUAUCUGUAGUUGGGACUCACGUUUUAUUUAUAAUUUGUCUCGAUAUAGAAGUAAAGGUAUAAUUUCCUAUAGAAAUUUGAAACAUUGUUCCCUUGUCACAUCUUGCUGAUAAAAAACCUUAUGUCAGAUGAUUUUUGGUCUGAUAAUAUAGAAAUUUUGAUUAACUUACUAAAUAAUUAUAUUUCAAUAUGAUUCAUUUGGUAAUAAUUUUAUUUUAUUUUUAUUCUGUCAUGUCUAUUUAAGUUGUAUAAUACUUUCAGAUAUAGAAUUUGACAAAGUUCCUAUGGCAAAUAUGAAGCUGCAUAAAAUCUGCUUCCUGACCCAGAGAACUUGGAGGUUGUUGUGAUUAUGAUUAUUUUAUAUUAUGCUCAUACUACUUAAAACUCAUUUGUUCUUUCUUAGUUAUUAUAAUUUCUUAGGACUUUUAGAUCACAGAUUAUUGUCCCAUUACUUUGUAAUAUAUGUUUUGCUUUUAAGAAAAAAAGUUCAGCUGCUUUAUUUUUUGUAUCAAAAUACACAAUUUUAGCAUUUGGAACGUGAGAGAGGAUGAGAAAAGAGAGACUUAGAAGAUAUAAUUAGUAUCAAUUAGGGCAAAAUAUAUAUGUAUCACUAUAGCAACAUGUUAUAUCAUUUAAAAGCAUAUACUGUGGAGCUAAGUAGAUAAUGGAUUCAAAUAACAACUCUUUUCUUUAUUGUUUAUGAAGAUUUUGGAAAGUUACUAUUUCUCAUCUCCAGUUUCCUCCCCUAUAAAGCAGAGCAAAUCAUUUCUACCCAUGAAAUUAUAAGGAUGUGUGAAAUAUGGUAUACAAAAAGCCUGGCUUAUAGUUGGCAUCAGUGUAAUAUAAGCAUUUUUGUAUACACUCUCUUUAUAUGUAUUAUUACUUUUUUGAGAUGGAGUCUCACUCUGUGGCUCAGGCUGGAGUGCAAUGGCGCUAUCUCAAUUCACUGCAACUUCUGCCUCCCAGAUUCAAGCAAUCCUCCUGCCUCAGCCUCCUAAGUAGCUGGGAUUAUAGGCGCCCACCACCACGCCUGGCUAAUUUUUGCAUUUUUAGUAGAGAUGGGGUUUCACCAUGUUGGCCAAGCUAGUCAUGAAUUCCUGACUUCAGGUGAUCCACCUGCCUUAGCCUCCCAAAAUACUGGGAUUACAGGCAUGAGCCACAGCACCUUGCCUAUAUGUAUUAUAUUUUUAAACAGCUCUUCACAAUAGAUGAUUAGCAAG